UUUAUUUUCUCUAGUCUUUGCGAACCAAUUACGAAUGAAAUCCAAUGCAGGUGAAGAUGAAGGAGAUGAUGUCAGUACUACAACUACAAAGGAUUUGCCGUCUCAGAGAAAUCAAAUCAACAACAUACCAAAAGGAUUAAGGAAGAGAGGAUAAUACCCCAUUUCUAACUGGCUCAAUGUCAGUGAGUUCCUCAUCCUCAAACUCAUCAUGCCUGCUUCUGUACAGUUGAAAAGUCACGUGUGCUAUAUGAUGCAAUCGGACUCAUAGAUUAUUGUCCUAUCUUCUUCUUCUUGAAGUGGUCAUAUACGAUCAAUGGAAUUCGCCGCAAAGGGAAUAAUGAAGAUGAACUAUAUAGCUUUUCUGGUUGCAAACGGACACUGUCACCUGUUUCCUUGAACUAUGCAAUGUUAAAUAUGUAAAGGUCUUUGUGAAUAAAUGCAACAGAAAGGCUAAAAGAAAUUGUUUGUCAUGUAGCCCAACCUUCUCUUUUAUAAUAGUUCCUUCUGUACUAUACACAUGCAUAAUUUUC